GUCAAGGCCAACAUCAUACCCAUUUCUACAAAAUAUUGAAACUAAAAACCUUUAUUACAUGUUGGAAGCAUGGCAUUCUUCUGUUAUUCGCUGCAUUUAUUCUUCAUGAUAGAGGUACAAACCGAGGCCAAAUCUUGCACAAGCCUUGCAGAAAGCUAUUUCCUCCGCAGCAGCAACAGGAUCUUCAAUAUUGCUAUCGCUGGCUGAUACCGUUCCAGUCGAUUCACGGUGUGCCUCUCCAUCCGAUCCUCUAACGGUCACACGAUAAACCACAGUCACACUACCAUUGUCUGAGAAUAUGACAUCUCGUAUUUCUCCACACCAUCCAGGGG
rnacentral:misc_RNA from 1 species